rnacentral:lncRNA from 1 species
CUCUCCUUUGCUUCCGGAACUCCUGUUACGCAUAUGGCAUUAUGCUUGAUAAUGUCUCAUAGGUCUUUGAGGCUCUGUUUAUUUUUCUUUAUUCAUUUUUCUUUGUGUCCUUCAGACUGACUACUCUCAAUUGACCCAACUUCAAGUUUGCUGACUUUCUUGUUGCCUGCUCCAGUUUGCUUUUCUCCUUCUCCUUCUCUUUCUCCUUCUUCUCUUUUUUCUCCUUUUUCUCCUCC